CAUCUCAUCACGCGCGUCUCCAUCACGGCUCCUCCUUCCAGCCCCACCUUCCGUCUUCUCUCCCCGCCUUACGCAGGCUCUCCUAAGUCCUCUCCGAGACCACUGCAAUAGUCCGAUACUAUUGGAAAGAAGUCUCUGGAUCCAAGGGACACAAACUCACCCAGAAGCAGCCUAGGUCAAACAGAGCGUGGCUGGAAGGACACUGGGAGGAACGGCUGCCGAACAGAAGGCUGAUGCGUGGGACCCCUGGGCCUUGGGAGACCAGGAAAUGAGGCUCCUCUGCCUCCCCACCUCUUGCCCCUGCCUCUCUGCCUGUCACCUCCACUCUCCCCGUGCAGGUGGCGUUUCCCCACGCGUCAGGACACACCUCCACCUAGGGCUCCCAGCGUGCCAGCCCACUGCGUCUGCAACUGAGAGAGGCACCCUCAUUCUCAGAUGUUUGGAAAAAGGAAUCCCAGAGAAACAGGCCUCCAGAUCAAUGAGAUCGAGCAGCAGAGUCAGGAUUUACCCAGUCUGCUUUGCAGGAAGAUGGCCAAUCUCUGAGAUGGCUGGGGGCUCUGGGUCCCACAGAUGCCUCUCCAUGGGUGAAGGAAAAAUAAGCCAUUUUUUUACUUGCAUUAGCAUCUCUUCUAGCAACAUACAAGUUAUGGCUAAAAAGAAAGACCAAAAUGCUGUACUUCUACAACAAUGCCUGCUAGCACUUGGCCAAUAAGAAAUGAAAAUAGAGAUCACAUCACCACUAUCACUAGAAAGAAACUUGGGUUUAUUGAAAAAAAAUCAGUUUUGAAGUAA